GUGCUUGCUUUGGUAUCCUAGAUACUAAAGUUAGAACAAUACAGAGAAGAUUAGCAUGGCUCCUUUGUAAGUAAGGGAUGACAGGCAAAUUGUAAAGCCUUCCAUACUUAC